UAGGGAAUCUUCCGCAAUGGACGCAAGUCUGACGGAGCAACGCCGCGUGAGUGAAGAAGGAUUUCGGUUCGUAAAACUCUGUUGUUAGAGAAGAACAGCGCAUAGAGUAACUGUUAUGCGUGUGACGGUAUCUAACCAGAAAGCCACGGCUAACUACGUGCCAGCAGCCGCGGUAAUACGUAGGUGGCAAGCGUUGUCCGGAUUUAUUGGGCGUAAAGCGAGCGCAGGCGGUCAAUUAAGUCUGAUGUGAAAGCCCCCGGCUCAACCGGGGAGGGUCAUUGGAGACUGGUUGACUUGAGUGCAGAAGAGGAGAGUGGAAUUCCAUGUGUAGCGGUGAAAUGCGUAGAUAUAUGGAGGAACACCAGUGGCGAAGGCGACUCUCUGGUCUGUAACUGACGCUGAGGCACGAAAGCGUGGGUAGCAAACAGG
rnacentral:rRNA from 1 species